rnacentral:rRNA from 1 species
AAAAAGGUAAUUAAGGGCACUGAUAGUGGAUGCCUUGACAAUCAACACCGAUGAAGGACGUAGGACUCUGCGAUAAGCCUCGGGGAUCUGAGAACGAGAAAUGAUCCGGGGAUUUCCGAAUGGGGAAACCUAAUGUGAGUUAUGUCACAUUGUCUCUAUCUGAACACAUAGGGUAGAAAACGGGAACUGACCGAACUGAAUCAUCUUAGUAGGUCCAGGAAAAGAAAAUAACCAAUGAUUCCGAAAGUAGUGGCGAGCGAAAUUGGAACAGUCUAAACCUUAAGAUAACCAUACGGUUUAACGGCCAGAGUUAUUAAAGGGGUUGCGAAAUUAGAUAAUUUUUAUGCUGAAUGUCUCUAAAUGGGAUGUUUGGCAUAAAAACCAACAGCGUUAACUGAGUGGAUAAAGAUACAAUCCUUUAGAUCGUAGCAGAAGCUUCUGGAAUGGAGCGCCAAAGGAGGUGAAAGCCCUGUACGCGAAACGGUCUUAGGCUUUAUAUAUCUUUUUUCAAGUAGGACGGGGCACGAGAAACCCUGUUUGAAUCCGGCAGGACCACCUGCCAAGGCUAAAUAUAUUGAUUGAUCGAUAGCGAACUAGUAC